rnacentral:rRNA from 1 species
GACGAACGCUGGCGGCGCUCCUAACACAUGCAAGUCGAACGAGCGAGAGAGAGCUUGCUUUCUCGAGCGAGUGGCGAACGGGUGAGUAACGCGUGAGGAACCUGCCUCAAAGAGGGGGACAACAGUUGGAAACGACUGCUAAUACCGCAUAAGCCCACAGCUCGGCAUCGAGCAGAGGGAAAAGGAGUGAUCCGCUUUGAGAUGGCCUCGCGUCCGAUUAGCUAGUUGGUGAGGUAACGGCCCACCAAGGCGACGAUCGGUAGCCGGACUGAGAGGUUGAACGGCCACAUUGGGACUGAGACACGGCCCAGACUCCUACGGGAGGCAGCAGUGGGGAAUAUUGCACAAUGGGGGAAACCCUGAUGCAGCGACGCCGCGUGGAGGAAGAAGGUCUUCGGAUUGUAAACUCCUGUUGUUGAGGAAGAUAAUGACGGUACUCAACAAGGAAGUGACGGCUAACUACGUGCCAGCAGCCGCGGUAAAACGUAGGUCACAAGCGUUGUCCGGAAUUACUGGGUGUAAAGGGAGCGCAGGCGGGAAAGCAAGUUGGAAGUGAAAUCCAUGGGCUCAACCCAUGAACUGCUUUCAAAACUGUUUUUCUUGAGUAGUGCAGAGGUAGGCGGAAUUCCCGGUGUAGCGGUGGAAUGCGUAGAUAUCGGGAGGAACACCAGUGGCGAAGGCGGCCUACUGGGCACCAACUGACGCUGAGGCUCGAAAGUGUGGGUAGCANACAGG